CAACACCGAAGACAGCCAGGUUCUUGAUUCCCAUGAUAUUGAACAAGUCAGUAGUUCCACGAGAUCCAUCCAAGUUGAAGAAUCAGAGAAGUUGAAUUCCGAAUCGAUCCUUGAGGAUGGGGACUGUGAAAAGAGUGGCGUCACCUCCGAAGAUGAUGCUAAUGACGCAGACUCAACAAACUCUGAAGAAACCGAGACUUCACCUCUUCCAGCGAACGAAGAAGGAGAAAGCCAUGAUACAACCGUUAACUCAGAGGCAACCAACUCUGAAGAAACUGAGACUUUGCCUCACGUACCCAAAGAAGAAGAAGCCGAAAGACACGGUAAAGUCAACCAAGAAAAAGACACUCAGUCUCCAUCAUCAAAGCCAAAAUCUCAGGCAGAAGAGGAAUUCAACACAAUUUGGCAGAGAAUAAUCCGCCUGGAUGCAGUGAGAGCCAAUAAUGAAUGGGUGCCCUACUCACCAUCUCAAGCUGCUGUGUCUGACACAAAAGCCCGGGGAAUAGCCACACAGGUUGGUCUUACUGACUACGAGGACUUGGAGCCCUGCAGGAUCUUACACGCAGCUCGCCUGGUCGCCAUCCUUGAAGCCUACGCGGUCUACGACCCUGAAAUAGGUUACUGUCAAGGAAUGAGCGACUUACUAUCUCCUUUACUCGCAGUAAUCGAAGACGACGCGUUUGCAUUCUGGUGCUUUGUCGGGUUCAUGAGUAAAGCAAGGCAUAAUUUCAGGCUAGACGAGGUUGGAAUCAGGAGACAACUCUCAAUGGUAUCGAAAAUCAUACAGUUCAAAGACAUCCGCUUGUACAGGCACUUGGAGAACCUAGAAGCGGAAGACUGCUUUUUUGUAUACCGUAUGGUGGUGGUGAUGUUCAGACGAGAACUAACAUUUGAGCAGACGCUUUGCCUGUGGGAAGUAAUGUGGGCGGAUCAAGCAGCCAUAAGAACAGGGAUUGCAAAGGCGACAUGGGGGAGAAUACGGUUAAGGGCACCACCGACGGAAGAUUUGUUGCUAUAUGCGAUAGCGGCAAGCGUGUUGCAGAGGAGAAAGACGAUCAUAGAGAAGUACAGUGGGAUGGAUGAGAUUAUGAAGGAAUGUAAUAGCAUGGCUGGUCGUCUUGAUGUUUGGAAACUUCUUGACGAUGCUCAUGACUUGGUCGUCAAUCUUCACGACAAGAUCUGAAAGAGGCACUAUUUUGCCACUAUCACUUUACUUGUUGCACUUUCUUUGUUAGUGUUCAGCUGUUAUUGUUACUUAAAAUGUGAAACAAAAAAAUCUUCAACCAUGUCUUGGAAUAUCUUGUUAUUACUUAAAUAAAGAGAGCUAAAAUUAAAAUGGAUGGGUAGAAGUAGAGAUGUCUGAUACAAAAACCCUUUCUAGAAGACACAAGGCUUAAAAGUUGAAUCACAUGAAUUCGGUUCCAUUUUGGGUUUCAUAAAAAGUUGAAAAAAUACUGACUCUUAAUGGGUCAAAAAAAACACGCCAAUCUGAUCGAACCAUAAACUUGAAUAACCCAACCGAGCCGUACAGUCGAAUGCAUAUACUCUUAGAUUGUUAGAUGUGGUUUGGAAAACAAUUAUUUUUUGAAACUUUUUAUUUUUAUUUUGUGAUUCUCUAUAAGAUUUAGGUUAAAAUUUUUGAAUUACAUAGAGCAUUUAUAUACUUGAUUCGUAAAUAAUGAUUUAAUGAUGAACAUAUGUUAAUGCAAUACUAAAAUCUCUAUAGAUUUAGAAAUAAAAAUUUGAAUUACAUAUUUAGCAUUCUUAUACUUGAAAUCGUAAAUCAAAGCACUGAUCAGAUGUUAUGCAAUAACACAUGCUAAAUCAUGAUUUAGAUAUAAAAAUUUGAAUUACAUAACGUUCAUAUACUUGAAUCGUAAAUCAACAUUUAGUAUUAAAGACAAUAUCUAGAGAGUAAUAUGAUUGCCUAGUUUUAUAAUGAUGAUCAGAUGUUUAUGCAACUACAUGCUAAAUCAUGAUUCAGAUAUAGAGAUUUGAAUUAAAACUAGCAUUUAUAUAUAUGACUCAUAAAUUUAGCAUUUACAAUUGUUAACUUUUAGUAAAAACACAAUACGAAAUGCAUCUCAUGGUCGAUGGAUUUAUAAUGAUGAUCAGAUGUUAAUGUUAAAUCAUGAUUUAGAUAUAAAGAUUUGAAUUACAAAUAGCAUUCAUAUACAUAAAUAGCAUUCACAAUGAUUAAAUUUUACUAAUAACGCAGAUAUUAACACAAUACUGAAUGAAUCUCAUGGUUAUGUAUAAUGUUAAACUGUCUAUUGGGAUAUAGUUUGGGGGUUUAAUAUUGCACUAUACAUAAGGGUUUUGAGAAGGGUGCCUAAUGGAACAAUGUUUGUGCAAUACAUGUUCAGAGAUCAGUAAGAUAAUGUCAAUACAUUUAAAUGCAGUGUUACAUGUGUUUUCUAUAAAGUUUGGUUUUAUUUUUCUGAACAUCGAAUGAGAAAGAAUCUAAUAAGCUCAUCUUAUCACAAGAUUGUUUAGGGUUUGCAAAAUUGAGAAUUACGAGAUUAGAGAAGAUAAAAGCUUUUUUAGAUAAAUAUCUGAUUUGUUUUUAGUAAUGUUUUUAGUAAUGUUUUUGAUAAACUUCCCGUAAUGGGACUCUAGAGUAUUAAUACAAACACUAGAGCAUAAAACGAUAAUGUUCAAACACACUGAAUAAUUAUUAAAAAGUCACUCUCUCAGCUAGUCUUUACUUCUUCUUUGUUCUUCUCUUUAGUCAUUUCCUUGAUUUAUCUUCUUUUCAUGGUUCUGUAAUUCUCUCAUGUUUCCACCAGUAUGAUCUUAUCAAAAUUUUGAAGAAUCUACUGAAAGACAAAAAGAAAACUUUACAUGUUUGUGUUUCUGUGUGUUUAUCUUUAUAGUCUGGUACAAUAGAGACAAUCUUGCCGUGUCAGAAUUAGAGAUUCAGAUCUAUAAGUGAACAUCCAAAGCGUUAAAUAUAAACCAUGUUACAACACUAGAGCCCCCUAAACCCUAGUAAACCCUCUUUUAAAACUCACCUCUAUCUCACUCGCCGGCAUAACAAAAAUACUAAAAAAAAAACGUAGAAGAGAAUGUCAGAGGGGGAGGAUGAGAUCACAAGGGUCUUCAAGGUGCGUCGCACGGUGCUGCAGAUGCUGAAGGACAGAGGUUACAACAUAGAAGAGUCUGAUAUAGAGUUGAAAAGAGAAGACUUCGUUCAAAACUUUUACAAAGCUAUGAACAAAGUCAACAAGGAAGCUCUAUUCGUGACAGCAGACAAGGGACCAAAUCCAGAAGACAAGGUAACACAUCUAAUAAACAACAUAGUCAUAAUGAAAAGUCUUUAUACUCAAAUCUUCAACUCUGGUGUGUAGAUUUACGUGUUCUACCCGGAAGGUCCUAAGGUGGGAGUCCCAAUCAUUAAAAAAGACGUGGUGAUGAAGAUGAGAGACGAUAAAGUCACUCGAGGGAUCAUAGUUGUUCCGCAGCCCAUAACUGGUGCAGCCAAGAAUGCUAUCAUAGAGCUGAACAAGAUUUUGACUAUUGAAGUCUUUGAGGAAGCUGAGUUGGUGACUAACAUAACCGAGCAUAAGCUUAUUAACAAGUACUAUGUACAUGACAAUCAAGCUAAGAAGGAACUGCUUCAAGAGUACACGGUGCAAGACACGCAGCUGCCACGUAUCCUUGUCUCUGAUCCUGUAACAGCUGUUAAAUGAGAAAAUACUACUUCUUAAGAGAGGGCAAGUUGUUAAGAUUAGAAGAAGUGAUGCUACUUCUUUGGACUAUUAUACCUAUCGAUAUGCAGUUUAGUUUUGUAAUCUUGGAUUUGGAUUUUUACAAACCUUGCUUGUUCAAUGUUUUUUAUUUUAUUUGUUAUAGUAAGGGAUAAAAAAAGUCACUAUUUUCAUAUAUGCAAGUCCACUUGUCUCGGUCGUAUUUGAGACGGACUGCUUGGAUUUAGUAGACUACGAAUCCGGUGGACUGGUCAGUCUUCGUUUCAGAGAUUAAUUCUUUUCAAAGUUUAAAGGAGGAGUUUGUUUCAUGACCAAAGGAGCAGGUCCGGACUCACUAGCAAAGAAGGUUAUGAUCAGCUGCUUAUUAUUUUCUCAUUUAAAUCAAAUAUGGUCAGAUGGAAGUGUUCUUCGAAAUAACUUUUCGUCAAGAACUUGAUCUAGUUGUAUACGUAGUUGACAAUGGCUUAUACCAAUGGAGUUUCAUGGCUUCUCAACUUUCUGCCAAUAUUUAAGUUUCCCAUUUUUCUCUGUUUCUCGUUAGGUGGCAAGCUUGUUAUUGACAUUUUCAAUGUUUCCAUGAAUUUACCAAUAAGUAGUAGUUUGAGAACUCCUAUCGCUUAGACAUACGUAAAUCUUGCAGGAAGGAAUAUGAAAACCUGCGGAGACAGUGUCGCGAGAUUCAUAGGCGCAAUGAAAAUAGCAGUGACUCAAAGCAGACUUCUCAGAGGAGCAACACCGAAGACAGCCAGGUUCUUGAUUCCCAUGAUAUUGAACAAGUCAUUAGUUCCACGAGAUCCAUCCAAGUUGAAGAAUCAGAGAAGUUGAAUUCCGAAUCGAUCCUUGAGGAUGGGGACUGUGAAAAGAGUGGCGUCACCUCCGAAGAUGAUGCUAAUGACUCGGACUCAACAAACUCUGAAGAAACCGAGACUUCACCUCUUCUAGCGAACGAAGAAGUAGAAAGCCAUGAUACAACCGUUAACUCAGAGGCAACCAACUCUGAAGAAACUGAGACUUUGCCUCACGUACCCAAAGAAGAAGCAGAAAGACACGGUAAAGUCAACCAAGAAAAAGACACU
rnacentral:lncRNA from 1 species